AGCGAACGCUGGCGGCAGGCCUAACACAUGCGAGUCGAACGAACCUUUCGGGGUUAGUGGCGGACGGGUGAGUAACACGUGGGAACGUGCCUUUAGGUUCGGAAUAACUCAGGGAAACUUGUGCUAAUACCGAAUGUGCCCUUCGGGGGAAAGAUUUAUCGCCUUUAGAGCGGCCCGCGUCUGAUUAGCUAGUUGGUUGAGGUAUGGCUCACCAAGGCGACGAUCAGUAGCUGGUCUGAGAGGAUGAUCAGCCACAUUGGGACUGAGACACGGCCCAAACUCCUACGGGAGGCAGCAGUGGGGAAUCUUGCGCAAUGGGCGAAAGCCUGACGCAGCCAUGCCGCGUGAAUGAUGAAGGUCUUAGGAUUGUAAAAUUCUUUCACCGGGGACGAUAAUGACGGUACCCGGAGAAGAAGCCCCGGCUAACUUCGUG
rnacentral:rRNA from 1 species